rnacentral:rRNA from 1 species
UACGUAGGGGGCAAGCGUUGUCCGGAAUCAUUGGGCGUAAAGAGCGUGUAGGCGGCCCGGUAAGUCCGCUGUGAAAGUCCAGGGCUCAACCCCGGGAUGCCGCUCGAAACUGGCGCGCUUGAGGACGGAAGAGGGGAGUGGAAUUCCUGGUGUAGCGGUGAAAUGCGUAGAGAUCAGGAGGAACACCCGUGGCGAAGGCGGCUCCCUGGUCCGUCCCUGACGCUGAGACGCGAAAGCGCGGGGAGCGAACGGG